AGAGAAAGGAAAGCGCGAGGAGCCGCCGCCACCACCAGCGCAGCAGUCCUGGAGCUGUGAGGAGAUUCGGGCCGUCACCCUGCCUCCCCUGCGUCCCGCCACCGGCCGCUUCCGUCCUCGGACCCAUUCCAACAAUCUCUUAAAACAUGGUGGAUUACUAUGAAGUUCUAGGCGUGCAGAGACAUGCCUCACCCGAGGAUAUUAAAAAGGCAUAUCGGAAACUGGCACUGAAGUGGCAUCCAGAUAAAAAUCCCGAGAAUAAAGAAGAAGCAGAGAGAAAAUUCAAGCAAGUAGCGGAGGCAUAUGAAGUGCUGUCGGAUGCUAAGAAACGGGACAUCUAUGACAAAUAUGGCAAAGAAGGAUUAAAUGGUGGAGGAGGAGGUGGAAGUCAUUUUGACAGUCCAUUUGAAUUUGGCUUCACAUUCCGUAACCCAGAUGAUGUCUUCAGGGAAUUUUUUGGUGGAAGGGACCCAUUUUCAUUUGACUUCUUUGUUGUUUUUGUGUUUUGACUUACUGAAAGGGGAACACAUUGUAUGUUUACCUCCUUCAUU
rnacentral:sRNA from 1 species